rnacentral:rRNA from 1 species
UACGUAGGGUGCGAGCGUUAAUCGGAAUUACUGGGCGUAAAGCGUGCGCAGGCGGCUUUGCAAGACAGAUGUGAAAUCCCCGGGCUCAACCUGGGAAUUGCGCUUGUGACUGCAAGGCUAGAGUACGGCAGAGGGGGAUGGAAUUCCGCGUGUAGCAGUGAAAUGCGUAGAUAUGCGGAGGAACACCAAUGGCGAAGGCAAUCCCCUGGGCCUGUACUGACGCUCAUGCACGAAAGCGUGGGGAGCAAACAGG